GACCACCCAAGUCUUGCACUUCAAAAAUAUGAUAUUUAUCUGCUUUUUCUGCAGAGAACAAUGAUCUUGGAUGUCGACUGUAGCAGUGAGUCCAAUUGACUUGCAUAAGAACGUGACUUGAAACAUCAAACAGAAAGCUUUUAGAGACCAGCAUUGCACAUCUUUUCUUGAGUACCUCCAAUUUUCAGCAAUAGCAGGGUCUUCAGUGAAAGACAGAGCGUCGACACUCUUCAUGACAUAUGUCAACAUUGCUCCUCCUGAUACCAGAAGAAAAAGGAUGUGCAGGGUGAGCAGAUCAGAGAUUCAAGUUGUUGCUAGAAUUGUUGCUUCACUCAGAGAUUAAAGUUGCUGGGGCCAAGGUGAGAAAAGAACACUGAAAUAUAGCUUCCCAAUAUAACCGAAUUUGGUAAACUGCAGAUGUUAGAACCGAACUUCUCCCAUCUUUAUGUGCUGGAAAAGAUUUUACAGUUCAUGAAU